GAGGAAUAUUGGUCAAUGGGCGAGAGCCUGAACCAGCCAAGUCGCGUGAAGGAUGACUGUCUUAUGGAUUGUAAACUUCUUUUAUACGGGAAUAACAAGAGCCACGAGUGGCUCCCUGCAUGUACCGUAUGAAUAAGCAUCGGCUAACUCCGUGCCAGCAGCCGCGGUAAUACGGAGGAUGCGAGCGUUAUCCGGAUUUAUUGGGUUUAAAGGGUGCGUAGGCGGCCUGUUAAGUCAGCGGUGAAAUCUAGGAGCUUAACUCCUAAAUUGCCAUUGAUACUGGCGGGCUUGAGUGUAGAUGAGGUAGGCGGAAUGCGUGGUGUAGCGGUGGAAUGCAUAGAUAUCACGCAGAACUCCGAUUGCGAAGGCAGCUUACUAAGGUACAACUGACGCUGAAGCACGAAAGCGUGGGUAUCAAACAGGAUUAGAUACCCUGGUAGUCCACGCAGUAAACGAUGAUAACUGGGCGUAUGCGAUAUACAGUAUGCUCCUAAGCGAAAGCGUUAAGUUAUCCACCUGGGGAGUACGCCGGCAACGGUG
rnacentral:rRNA from 1 species